rnacentral:piRNA from 1 species
GCCUCCUACAGCCAGAGGCUAAACAGUC